rnacentral:rRNA from 1 species
ACUUAAGCAUAUCAAUAAGCGGAGGAAAAGAAACCAACAGGGAUUGCCUCAGUAACGGCGAGUGAAGCGGCAACAGCUCAAAUUUGAAAUCUGGCCCCUUUCGGGGUCCGAGUUGUAAUUUGCAGAGGGUGCUUUUGGUGUUGGCCGUGGUCUAAGUUCCUUGGAACAGGACGUCACAGAGGGUGAGAAUCCCGUACGUGGCCGCCGGCCCUCGCCUUGUAAAGCCCCUUCGACGAGUCGAGUUGUUUGGGAAUGCAGCUCUAAAUGGGAGGUAAAUUUCUUCUAAAGCUAAAUACCCGCCAGAGACCGAUAGCGCACAAGUAGAGUGAUCGAAAGAUGAAAAGCACUUUGGAAAGAGAGUGAAAAAGCACGUGAAAUUGUUGAAAGGGAAGCGCUUGCGGCCAGACGUGCCCGCGGUUGUUCAUCUGGGCUCUCGCCCGGUGCACUCCUCCGCGGGCAGGCCAGCAUCAGUUUGGGCGGUCGGACAAAGGUCUCUGUCACGUACCACCCCUCGGGGUGGCCUUAUAGGGGAGACGCAACACGGCCAGCCUGGACUGAGGUUCCGCGCAUCUGCUAGGAUGCUGGCGUAAUGGCAGCAAGCGGCCCGUCUUGAAACACGGACCAAGGAGUCUAACAUCUAUGCGAGUGUUUGGGUGUCAAGCCCGAGCGCGUAAUGAAAGUGAACGGAGGUGGGAACCCCUCGGGGCGCACCAUCGACCGAUCCUGAUGUCUUCGGAUGGAUUUGAGUAAGAGCAUAGCUGUUGGGACCCGAAAGAUGGUGAACUAUGCCUGAAUAGGGUGAAGCCAGAGGAAACUCUGGUGGAGGCUCGCAGCGGUUCUGACGUGCAAAUCGAUCGUCAAAUUUGGGCAUAGGGGCGAAAGACUAAUCG